rnacentral:rRNA from 1 species
UACAGAGGUCCCAAGCGUUGUUCGGAUUCACUGGGCGUAAAGGGUGCGUAGGCGGUCGGGUAAGUCUGAUGUGAAAUCUCACAGCUUAACUGUGAAACUGCAUUGGAUACUAUUCGGCUUGAGAGUUGGAGGGGGGACUGGAAUUCUUGGUGUAGCAGUGAAAUGCGUAGAUAUCAAGAGGAACACCAGUGGCGAAGGCGAGUCCCUGGACAACUUCUGACGCUGAGGCACGAAGGCCAGGGGAGCAAACGGG